GACGGUACUUCAGGGGUCACAGUUUUAACUAGCUCUUUCCACUGCAGUCAUAUACCUGCUCCCAAACCAUCUUGAGGAUUUGAAGGGAGCUGUGCUACCUUUCAAGGGGAAAUGGCAUUCUCUCCUCCAAAACCAGCUUUUGGGUCACAAGAAGAGCUGACGGAACGGGAAGGGGGUGAAACUGCGGGAGUGGCACGGAACACUUCUCCAGGGGACACAGCUUAGGAGUUGAAGAAAGGAAGACUGGGAAAGAGGAUUUGCAUGAUCGAUUGGUUUAGUUACUGGAUGCAGCCUGUGGUGGCAGUUGGCAUCUCAGCUAAGACUCCUGCACAUGCGUCCCUACUUCUCCACUCACUAGACUAUUCCUCUUCUCAGGAAUGUACUGCAAUAGCUCCAGCGAGAGAUGGCAAAAUCCUGAAGAAAAGCAAUAAUAGUGAGAUGGCUGGUGAAGAAAGAAAGAAGAUACAUGAUAUUUAAUAAUGGAAGGAAGUUGCGGGGAGGGCGAAUGGCAAAGGGAAAAGUCCAGAUUCGCUUUGGUUUUUGUUAUGAAUGCCAAGUGGAUGGUGUGUUAUAAAAACAAGAUAAUGAGUGUAAGAGAGAGCCAGAAGGAAGGUAGUGAGCACAAAUUUGGCUGUGUUGAUUUUUAAUUUGUAAUUGUAUUUUUUUUUUGAGGAAGAUUAGCCCUGAGCUAACUGCUGCCAAUCCUCCUCUUUUUGCUGAGGAAGACUGGCCCUGAGGUAACAUCCGUGCCCAUCUUCCUCUACUCUAUAUGUGGGAUGCCUACCACAUCAUGGCCUGCCAAGUGGUGACACGUCCACACGCGGGAUCCGACCCAGUGAACCCCAGGCUGCCAAAGCAGAUCGUGCAAACUUAACCGCUGUGCUACCAGGCUGGUCCCUUGUAACUGUAUUUUUUAAUGUAAUUUUGGGAGAUCUGAGAUGGCAAUCACUACAGGCAGCUGAAUAUGCAGGUCUGGAACUCAGGAGAGAAAUCUGAGCUAGAAAUAGAGCUUCAGGAAUCAUCAACAUGUAGACAAAGACAUAAAAUUCCACCAAACAUUUAACGUAUGCUCAGAGGAUGAAGGAGGCAAAGGAGACUGCACUGGAGUAGAGAGGCCUGAGGAACCAGGAGAGCACAGUGUCAGGUGCCACAGAGAAGUCAGAUUAGGUUUGGGAGUGGGAGGUUGGAGGGUCAAUGCCCUGGACCCUUUGAUAGAGCAGUUGUGUUGAUGUGGAGGCAGCAAUUCUGAAGGGCACAGGGUGGGAGGUGAAUAGGAAACUAAAUUAGAAUAUAACUCAUUCUAUUCAUGAACUUGAUGGUUAAUCAAGAAAGAGAGAGAGUGAAAGUAGCCAGAUGUCAAGGCAGACUCAACAAAUGCAGAGGUUGAAGUUAUCUGAUAAAAAAUAACUGAUGGGUAAGUACCUAAAGGGAACAAGAAGGGAUAGGACCGAGAGCACAAAUAAAGGGAUGAUCAUUAAAGAGGAAAACA
rnacentral:lncRNA from 1 species